CUUACACAGGGCCCACGAUAUAACCAGGGGCGAAGAAGGAAGAUUAACUAAAUGCCGGCUAAUUUUCUAAAUUUCGCAAUGUAAUGUGGUUGGGUCCUGUUUGGGCACAGGGAGGAAUGGAAUUGAAAGUGGCAGGAAAAGAGCUCAAGGCUUCCGAGGAUGUGUCUGUUCUUUUUAUUGCUUUAGGCCGUCUCCCUUUCCCUGAUUCCCUCUUACUGUUUCUGGCUCAAAUUCUUGCAGAGCGCAUUAAAAAUAAUUAUGCUUAUGCUGCUGGAAAAUGUGCUGACUUACAUACAAGUAUUCAUAUGACCAAAUGGGUUACCCACCCAUAAAGGAGUACGUUGUAUGUUACAUAUACCCACCCAUAUACAUACAUAUGAGGGCAGUCAAAUGACCACACGAGAGGACGAAAGCGGGAGGAACCGAGCUGCAAAAAUAUUUGUACAACAUUCUUAAGCUCAACCGAAACGAAAAGUUAUGAAAAAUGUUAUGAAAAUUUAUCUUUGGCUGUCCUCUCCCACACUACUCAGCGGACACUGGACUGGUCCUGACUGUACUGGACUGGGAACUGGGAACGAACAGCUUCGCUUUCGCCUUGGAAGCUCCUUGGCCUGGGCUAGGGUAUCUAGCUGGCCUGCGGUUUAUGUGGCCACAUUUUAAUUGAAAUAACUUUGAUAAUGUUGCCAGCAGCUGAGAAAACAGCAAAAAUAAAUGCAAUGAAAAUAGCCAACAAAUUUAAAAUGGUUUUCCGUCGAAAUUAACUUUUCGUCAAUGCACACGCAAUCGAAUGACGUAACAGAGCUAAAAAUUCUGUACUACUGUGUGGGCAGAAACUGACAGAAUAUGAAUCUGCAACAGAAUCUGAUCGAGAUAUGGGUCGUUCUAUGUCCGUAUGGUGUCCAUACAGGGUUCGAUAGGACCUCAAUGAUUUGUCCCACUACCAAAUAUUUAUUGUGUAUGUGAAAAAAUAUAUAUUAAUAUUCUCCAGUUGAAACUGAGCCCAGCCUAGAGCAGUCUCUUGGUUGACGAACUCCAAAAGAUCGAAGCAACCCAUGUGGUUUUUAGCGUUGGUCCAGCACAGAUAUUGCAUGUGACGCUGCGUCGCUGAUACCGACGUUCGUACUUUCGCCCAUGAUCCUAGCGAUCAAAUCUUCAGUCAGGUGCCAGUCAGGAAUCCAUCAGCUGUGUGGUGAUGUCGACGUGGCCUUUGGGAUUGUUUAGCGAUAAUCGUAACCAGAUGAAAAUGUUCCCGGAGUCCACGUUCAACUGCUGCAUGUAGCUGAGGCUCACAAAAACGGUGCCGGCCCGGAAGCAAGUUAGCUUUCAUCGCCGGACCAGCCUCGUCGGACGUACCAGCUCACAGACCAGGGGGUUGCCCAUCGCCAGUUCAAUCUGAUCUUGUUCCACAACCUCCAUUUUUUCCACGUCUUCGACGAGCUCUAUGGCCUCAGUAUCCCCAUGCGGAGUGUUCUUAAUAUUAAAAAUAUCUUGACCAGACAUUUUUCGAAUAUUGGUCGCGUUCACCAGCACAACUUAUCCAUUACUGGAUUGCAUACGAUACUGGCGACUAUUAGUGAUUUUCAUAUAUCCAUCAUAUCGAUAUAUGUCCUCCUUUGGAUGUGAAUUUAUGGAGAUAAAUCAUGUUUCACAAGGUAGUGUAGCAUCUGUAGUGCAGUUUUGGCGCCUCCUAGAAUGUGGCAAAGCAAACUGACGCAAAUCUUAGUGCGUAAUAUUAUUAAAAAUUCCAAGACGCAUCAUUUUUUUUCUCAACCUUUUUUUCACUAUGUUUCUGCAGUGUGGGCUUAGAACAUGCUAUCUGUGUGCUAGUCGUACUAAUCGUAUGUACUUAAAUUUAAUUAUUUUGGUCUAAAAGUACA